rnacentral:rRNA from 1 species
CCCUACGGGGGGCAGUAGUAGGGAAUCUUCCAUAAUGGGCGAAAGCCUGAUGGAGCAACGCCGCGUGGGUGAAGAAGGUCUUCGGAUCGUAAAACCCUGUUGUUAGAGAAGAAAGUGCGUGAGAGUAACUGUUCACGUUUCGACGGUAUCUAACCAGAAAGCCACGGCUAACUACGUGCCAGCAGCCGCGGUAAUACGUAGGUGGCAAGUGUUAUCCGGAUUUAUUGGGCGUAAAGAGAACGCAGGCGGUCUUUUAAGUCUGAUGUGAAAGCCUUCGGCUUAACCGGAGUAGUGCAUUGGAAACU